AUAAGCCCAAACCAGACAGUUUAGGAAGGUCAUUCUACUUAGGAGGAGAGUAAAUAACAUUUUACAAAUGACUUUGGAGUUGCCUGGGUUUUUUUCUUUUUAAAAGUCUCCCUUUGCUAGUGGAAGUCACUGGGGAAUGGAUGAUAUGGCAAGUGCUUGCUGUUCUUGGAGUUCGGGUUCACUACUCCCCUUCUCAUGCAAGGGACUGAGAUGGUACUGGUGGGCUCAGGAGCCAGGUUCUAGAUUACUGCUGUCUUAGCUGGCAACUAGGGCAGUCGAAACCAAAAGCCUCAGAAGUCCUGUUCAAUGAGGGUAAAUAUUUGAAUGGAUUGAACAGAUGAGUGUGUGUAUAUUUAGAAACUCACACCCAGUAGAGAAAGAACCUCUGGAGACGGGAUCUCUCUAUAUUGCCCAGGCUGGUCUUGAACUCCUGGCCUCAAGCAAUCCUCCCACCCCGACCUCCCAGAGCACUGGGAUUACAGGUUUGCCAGGAGGAUUAUUAGCCUCUUCCUCGUGUCAAAACAAGCCAAGCAGGAAAAAAAACCAACAAGCAACUCAUGACUUGCAGCAGAAAAAACCCUGCGGUCUCUCCAGCAGGAGGGGAGACCUCAGCUGCAGGGGCCCGAAGGUCCCAGGUUACAACCUGGUCUUAGGCAUAUAUUGCUGAGAAGGGCCUUGAGGUCCCCUCGUUUCAGUCAGGAUGCUGAGGCCUGGCUCACCAUAAUGCCCAGUCUCCACAGCAGCCUGCCUUCUCUGCUCUCCUGCUACACCCCGGGAAAUUUAAUAGUGUCUCCCAGUCUGCUCAUGGGAAGCCCGGAGGCCUACAGUCUUUCCCCUAGUUCUGCUGUGAGCUAGCUCUGGGACCCUGGGCUACUCCAGUUUCC
rnacentral:lncRNA from 1 species